rnacentral:rRNA from 1 species
UACGUAGGUGGCAAGCGUUAUCCGGAUUUACUGGGUGUAAAGGGCAUGUAGGCGGGGACGCAAGUCAGAUGUGAAAACCACGGGCUCAACCUGUGGCCUGCAUUUGAAACUGUGUUUCUUGAGUACUGGAGAGGCAGACGGAAUUCCUAGUGUAGCGGUGAAAUGCGUAGAUAUUAGGAGGAACACCAGUGGCGAAGGCGGUCUGCUGGACAGCAACUGACGCUGAGGCGCGAAAGCGUGGGGAGCAAACAGG